rnacentral:rRNA from 1 species
UUUUCCAGCGAGCCCUCUGAGUGGAUGCAGUAUCGAACGAAUCAAAACUUUCAACAACGGAUCUCUUGGCUCUGGCAUCGAUGAAGAACGCAGCGAAACGCGAUAUGUAAUGUGAAUUGCAGAACCCAGUGAAUCAUCGAAUCUUUGAACGCACAUUGC